rnacentral:rRNA from 1 species
GGGUGCGAUUGUACCAGCACUAAUGCACCGGAUACCAUCAGAACUCCGUAGUUAAGUGUGCUUGGGGGAGAGUAGUAUUGGGAUGGGUGUCCUCCUAGGAAGUCCUCGUGUUCCACCCC